AUAUAUUGAGUCAUUGAUUACCAGAUUUUCACCAUGGGGGGAGCUUGUUCUAGGAAGAGAAACCAUCGAGAUGAUGAAGAUAGUUUUUGUAGAGGGAUUUCCAGAAGGAUACAUUGAAUGAGGAGGAAAAAGGGAGGGGGUUUCUCGGGUACAUUGAUCUAUAAAUCUGGAAGAAGAAGAGGUGGAGAAGAAGACCCAGCAGCAACAAUAACCACAACAACAACGAGGUUACUAGGAACAGCAGCAGAAGAAGAUCAUCGUCCAAAUCCUCUGCUCCUCUGCUCGAGUUGGUCUGUUUGUCGAUGGAGGAAUCCAAGUUCUAAUAAUAACCAAUCUUGGUCGAAAUCUACAAGGGAUUCUAAAAGUGGGUCUUGAAGAAAAUCGAUGUCAACGCUAUAGGAUAUCGUUACUGUUUUGUUGAACUUCAGAACAAAAGCUAGAGAAACUUCAGGAAGAGGAUCUUGUUGAAAGGCCGUUCAAGAAGAAACAUAUCAGGAUCAGGUUUCCUGAAUGAGGAAGAAGUGGGAGAUUUGCUCCAUUUGGAGAUAAGGUGUUGUUUAGCACAGCAAAUCUCACAAUUGAAAGAGGAGAGAAACUGGCCAUUAAUGCCCAAUUGGAUGUGGCAAGAGUACUUUGCUAAAAGUUGCUGAAACUAAUAAUGGGUUUACAAAAGCCAGGAGCAGGUGAAGUUCUGCUUGGGGAGCAUAAUGUCCUAACAAACUUUUUUGAGCAAAAUCAGGUGUAUAUUGCCAUUACUAUUCGCUACUUUGAAAUAACUAAUAGCAUGGGGUUUCUUCUUAGUAAAAGAGGAACCGGAUCUGUAAAUUUCCUUGUCAGAAUAUAUUGUUGGUUGACUUAGCUUUUAUGGGAUACACGUAACAUGCUUUGUUCAGAAUUUUCUGUUCAAAACUACUAAUGUUGACUCCGUAUCUAUUUCAGUGAUUUUAAUUUAUAUAGGGAUCUUUUGUGUUAACUGUAAGUUUUUG